GGCUGGGUGGUAGCAGUGGUAGCUCACCGGGCCACCCGAAAGGGUCAGCACCGGAGGUCGCCGGUUCAACUCCGGCCCCAGCCU
rnacentral:tRNA from 1 species